rnacentral:rRNA from 1 species
GAUGAACGCUGGCGGUAUGCUUAACACAUGCAAGUCGAACGGGAAUCUUCGGAUUCUAGUGGCGGACGGGUGAGUAACGCGUAAGAAUCUAACUUCAGGACGGGGACAACAGUUGGAAACGACUGCUAAUACCCGAUAUGCCGCAAGGUGAAACCUAAUUGGCCUGGAGAAGAGCUUGCGCCUGAUUAGCUAGUUGGUGGGGUAAGAGCCUACCAAGGCGACGAUCAGUAGCUGGUCUGAGAGGAUGAGCAGCCACACUGGGACUGAGACACGGCCCAGACUCCUACGGGAGGCAGCAGUGGGGAAUUUUUCCGCAAUGGGCGAAAGCCUGACGGAGCAACGCCGCGUGAGGGAGGAAGGUCUUUGGAUUGUAAACCUCUUUUCUCAAGGAAGAAGUUCUGACGGUACUUGAGGAAUCAGCCUCGGCUAACUCCGUGCCAGCAGCCGCGGUAAU